GAUGAACGCUAGCGGCGUGCCUAACACAUGCAAGUCGAACGUGAAGCCGGCUUCGGUUGGUGGAAAGUGGCGGACGGGUGAGUAACACGUAAGUAACCUGCCUCAGAGUGGGGGAUAACCAUUAGAAAUGAUGGCUAAUACCGCAUGGUUUUGCUAAGAUGGGAAUUUUGGCAAAUAAAGCUAAGGCGCUUUGAGAGGGGCUUGCGUCCGAUUAGUUAGUUGGUGGGGUAAAGGCCUACCAAGGCGAUGAUCGGUAGCUGGUCUGAGAGGGUGAACGGCCACACUGGGACUGAGACACGGCCCAGACUCCUACGGGAGGCAGCAGUGAGGAAUUUUCCGCAAUGGGCGCAAGCCUGACGGAGCGACGCCGCGUGAGGGAUGACGGCCUUCGGGUUGUAAACCUCUUUUAUUAAGGAAAAAGGUUUAUGUGUUAAUACCACGUAAACU
rnacentral:rRNA from 1 species